GUGCUAGUAGCUCAGUUGGAUAGAGCAAUGGCCUUCUAAGCCAUGUGCCAGGGGUUCGAAUCCCUUCUAGCACG
rnacentral:tRNA from 1 species